ensembl:lncRNA
CAGUGGCCUCCUCACUGUCGCUCGCCAUCCACAGGACACACCCGAGCCGUCCGUACACCAGAUAAGCUGUCACCCCUCCUCCCUGGAGGCUUAACGGUGCAUCUAAGGAAGCAUUUGUACAAGUAGCAAGAGGUGAACUAGAUUAAUAGCAUUGCUGGUGUGUCUGUGUAGAUGCUGGGCUCCUAGGAAGGAAGUAGGUUACACACAGUGGGCCAAUCUCACCAAGAAACGGGGAGCACGCUAUCUUGUGCUUGCAAAUUAUCUUCAGUUCACUCUUUACUUUUGGUUGGACCCUUAAUGCUAUUGCAGAGUUGAAUGACCAGAAAGGAAGCAUUUGUAUCACGUGCAUUUUAAUGUGAGGACAAACUUGGUUUAACUUAGGGUUUUCAAGGUGAGCCAAACCAGUGUUGAGAUAUUGCAUAGGACUUCGGAUGUAACUUUUGCAGUGCCUGCUGACACGGAUGGGAGCCACGUGCUGCAGAAAAGUCAGCAAUCAGGUGAGCUGGGUUUUAGGCCGGCCCGCAGCCGCCCGGCAGGCAUCAGAAUCUCAUGCACACAUGCGGAGGGCCAGCAUGUCUGAGCCCUGUGUGCUUGCAGCACACGAAGUGGAAGCUCAAGAGGCCAGUGGUGAAGGUGGGCCUGCUGUCGGGGUGCCACGGAGCCUCGUCACCACAGGAGAGCACCCCAGUCCAAGAGCGCUUCCUGUGGCCUCUGCAGGUCCUCCGGGUCCUUGUCAUCACUUUGCAGUGAGUGACGGCCCCGCUUCCUGUCUGCGAGACUCUCCCACUUCAGGUCCCUGCGGCUGUGGAUUUGUGUUGGGGUCUGGUCCCAGGUUCCUCUCUCUGCCCUUCCCAGGUGAGCAUGGACCUGCAUCUCACUGAUCCAGGCCCCAUCUGUUCACCUCGGCUCAUGACGUGGUGGGGGCUGGGCUGCCGGCGACUACCUGGCCCAGAUGCUGCAGCCCGGCUGGCCGGUCGCCGACCACAACCCUGUGUCCUGCAGCCUUAUAGAUUCUGAGUUGACAGCACGCUGUCUUCUCACCUCAUCUGCUGUGCUGCUGGCUGUCAGGCUUCCGCUCUGCUGUGCGGGCGCUGCUCCUCAUAAGAACCUCAGGGCUCCCAGAAACAGGGUCCUCGUGGGAAGCGGAGGGGGACGCAGGAGAUGCUGCCCUGUGCAGACCUGGUCCUCUGUCCAACACAGGCGGAGAAGUAGAGUCUGGGCCCUGCGCUCCUGCCCUGGAUGUGUGGGGGUUCUCUGCCAGGCCACUGCUCCUCACGAAGGUCACAGAAGCAGUGCAAUGUCAGUACAGGCACGUGUGUGGAUAUCAUGCUCGCUUUCUCCAAAAAGGCUAAAACACACUGACUUUUCAAGAAGCUUUGAGCCCACACUGAAUUCACAAUAAAUGAAAUGUUUUAAAAUUGAUUUUAAGUACUAAUUGUCCCCAUGAAGUUCUAAUGACAACAGAACAGUAAUAUCAACCUUCAUAAUAUGAAGACUUAGCCAGGCGUGGUGGCGCACACCUGUUAUCAGCACUCAGGACGCUGAGGCAGGAGGAUCACGAGUUUGAAGCCAGGGUGGGCUACAUAGCAAGUUCAAGACCAGCCUGAACUACACAGCAAGACCCUGCCUGAAAAAAAAAAAGAGAAAGUUCUCAAGGCAUAUUUAGUACGUGGCAACACCUGGUGUUCACAGCAACUAGUAACACCCAUAAUCCAUGUUACACUGUACUUUACAGGCAGGAGGAAAGCCCCAACAUAGAAGUGGCUUUUUAAAGAACAG